GGCGCCAUCGUCUAGCGGUUAGGACAUUGCCCUCUCACGGCGAAAACAGGGGUUCGAUUCCCCUUGGCGCUA
rnacentral:tRNA from 1 species